rnacentral:RNase_P_RNA from 1 species
CCAGACGGCCGGAUGACCGCGGCGGCGCAAGCCGUCGAGGAAAGUCCGGGCUCCACGGAAGCGAAGGUGCCGGGUAACGCCCGGCGGGGGCGACCCCAGGGACAGUGCAACAGAAAGCAGACCGCCAACCGGGCUUCGGCCCGCGGCAAGGGUGAAACGGUGGAGUAAGAGCCCACCGCGAUCCGGGCAACCGGAUCGGCACGGCAAACCCCACCUGGAGCAAGACCAAAUAGGGACGGCGCGCGGGACUUCGGUUCCGCAGGUCUGUUUCCGGAUCGCCGUCCGGGUCGGUCGCGCGAGGUGCCCGGCAACGGGCAUCCCAGAGGAAUGGUCAUCGCCGGCCCGCAAGGGCCGUCACAGAACCCGGCUUACAGGCCGUCUGGCGUU